AUUGAACGCUGGCGGCAGGCCUAACACAUGCAAGUCGAGCGGAUGAAGGAAGCUUGCUCCUGGCUUCAGCGGCGGACGGGUGGGUAAUGCCUAGGAAUCUGCCUGGUCGUGGGGGCUAACGUCAGGAAACGGGCGCUAAUACAGAAUCGGUCCUGAGGGAGAACGUGGGGGAUCUUCGGACAUACAGCUAUCAGCUGACCCUAGGUCGGAUUAGCUAGUUGGUGGGGUAAAGGCCUACCAAGGCGACGAUCCGUAACUGGUCUGAGAGGAUGAUCAGUCACACUGGAACUGAGACACGGUCCAGACUCCUACGGGAGGCAGCAGUGGGGAAUAUUGGACAAUGGGCGAAAGCCUGAUCCAGCCAUGCCGCGUGUGUGAAGAAGGUCUUCGGAUUGUAAAGCACUUUAAGUUGGGAGGAAGGACAGUAAGUUAAUACCUUGCUGUUUUGACGUUACCAACAGAAUAAGCACCGGCUAACUUCGUG
rnacentral:rRNA from 1 species